GUUAGAAAUGGAACAUAUUGUUUUUCAUAACUGUUUCUUUAAGCAAUAACCUCAGUGCAUAAUAUGUUUGCGCCAUUUUGUCCCAGACGAAUUACAAUAACAAUAAUGCAUAAACAAGCUUCAAGGCUAUUCUACGACACUUGCAGUACCCAAUAUACUGUGGUAACCCCAAGUUAAUGGAACUUCCCCAAAUCCGGGAAUCUCCCACGACUGUACACUUACGACUUAGUAUAAACAACAGAUAACCUAUUCAGACUUUAAGAUGCCAUCUUGAACUAAGUCAGGAAAAUUUCCAUGACGUUUGCACCCUUUAGUUAUGGCCUUGUAUGUUUGCCAAAUUAAGGGAGGUCCUAAAAUGAAUACAGUAAAAGAACUACAAUAACCCCAAAAUGGAGACACCUAAGGUAUAAAUAGGUGUACUUUUAAAUGUUAAGACACAGAGGAGAGACUUGGAGACAGACGCUGCUCCAUCUUAAAAUGACAGAGAGGCUGACAUGAUGACAUGUUCAGAAGGGUAUGUUAACCUAUUAAUG
rnacentral:lncRNA from 1 species